rnacentral:rRNA from 1 species
UACGUAGGGGGCUAGCGUUGUCCGGAAUCAUUGGGCGUAAAGAGCGUGUAGGCGGCUCGGUAAGUCCGCUGUGAAAGUCCAGGGCUCAACCCUGGAAAGCCAGUGGAAACUGUCAAGCUAGAGUCCGGAAGAGGCGAGUGGAACUCCUGGUGUAGCGGUGAAAUGCGCAGAUAUCAGGAAGAACACCAAUGGCGAAGGCAGCUCGCUGGGACGGUACUGACGCUGAGACGCGAAAGCGUGGGGAGCAAACAGG